AUACUUUUCUCGGCCUCUCGGCUAAGAUCAAGUGUAGUAUCUGUUCUUAUCAGUUUAAUAUCUGAUAUGUGGGUCACUGAUCCAUAUGAUAUUAAAUUAAUGUUAAGGCCUGCAACAGCAAGCUAUUGUUGAGGUAUUCAAGCGUUGGCUAUGCAUUGCACUAUAGCAUGGUGUUGGCGCACCCUAC